GAUGAACGCUGGCGGCGUGCCUAAUACAUGCAAGUCGAGCGAACGGACGAGAAGCUUGCUUCUCUGAUGUUAGCGGCGGUCGGGUGAGUAACACGUGGAUAACCUACCUAUAAGACUGGGAUAACUUCGGGAAACCGGAGCUAAUACCGGAUAAUAUUUUGAACCGCAUGGUUCAAAAGUGAAAGACGGUCUUGCUGUCACUUAUAGAUGGAUCCGCGCUGCAUUAGCUAGUUGGUAAGGUAACGGCUUACCAAGGCAACGAUGCAUAGCCGACCUGAGAGGGUGAUCGGCCACACUGGAACUGAGACACGGUCCAGACUCCUACGGGAGGCAGCAGUAGGGAAUCUUCCGCAAAGGGCGAAAGCCUGACGGAGCAACGCCGCGUGAGUGAUGAAGGUCUUCGGAUCGUAAAACUCUGUUAUUAGGGAAGAACAUAUGUGUAAGUAACUGUGCACAUCUUGACGGUACCUAAUCAGAAAGCCACGGCUAACUACGUG
rnacentral:rRNA from 1 species